CACGCCCGCUCUGGCCGCCAGAGGACGCCCGAGGAUCACGAAUGGGCCCGAGGAGCUGGCUGCCCCUUCCCACGCUCAAGGAAGAAGAAGAGAGACAGAGAGACCGGAGCACACGCAGCCAUCUCACCAUGUGAUGUGUUGUGGCACCUCAGGACUCUUCAGAGAGUCCCCACCAUCAAGAAGGCCCUCACCAGAUGCUGCCCCUUUACCUUGGACUUCUCAGCCUCCAUAACUAACUUCAGCUAACAUCACUAUCCAGGGGCUUUCAGAGUGCAUGACCUGCAGACCUGGAAUCCCACACAAGAAGGUAUCCUACCAAGGGACACACUUCAGAGUGAAGGAG
rnacentral:lncRNA from 10 species